rnacentral:siRNA from 1 species
ACCACAAGAUUCUAAUUGCGGAU